CCUACGGGAGGCUGCAGUGAGGAAUAUUGGUCAAUGGGCGGAAGCCUGAACCAGCCAAGUAGCGUGAAGGAUGACUGCCCUAUGGGUUGUAAACUUCUUUUAUAUGGGAAUAAAAUGUUCCACGUGUGGGAUUUUGUAUGUACCAUAUGAAUAAGGAUCGGCUAACUCCGUGCCAGCAGCCGCGGUAAUACGGAGGAUCCGAGCGUUAUCCGGAUUUAUUGGGUUUAAAGGGAGCGUAGGUGGAUUGUUAAGUCAGUUGUGAAAGUUUGCGGCUCAACCGUAAAAUUGCAGUUGAAACUGGCAGUCUUGAGUACAGUAGAGGUGGGCGGAAUUCGUGGUGUAGCGGUGAAAUGCUUAGAUAUCACGAAGAACUCCGAUUGCGAAGGCAGCUCACUGGACUGCAACUGACACUGAGGCUCGAAAGUGUGGGUAUCAAACAGGAUUAGAUACCCCGGUAGUC
rnacentral:rRNA from 1 species